GUGAAUAAUGGAAAAGAGUGUGCUUUUUUAACUCAUAUGGGCAAAGAUGUCGAUUCAGCCCAUAACUUCUCAGUUCGCUAUUAUAAGAAAUUUAAAAUCAACAUGACUCGUAUCAAUAAGGUGUUUGUGAAAGCAUCCACAAAAAUGAUUGCAGAGGCUUAG
rnacentral:rRNA from 1 species